UGUAAGAAAGACUAAGGGAU
rnacentral:tRNA from 2 species